UGAAAUUGGCGCGUUUAUACUGAAACGCUGCGUAUCAUUUAAACUGUUGUGGCGGUAAGAUGCGCUCGUAGCCAAUCAUUUCGCCAUGCCAGACACACGUGUACCAAUACAUGCACACGAACACCAAAACACAUGCAGUGAAGCGCCCAAAAGAUCAAAUGCGUUCUGGAUUUAAAAAUUCUAGGGUUCAUGCGAUGUUCAUACGCGUUCUUCAUCCUUUUUCCAGGUCAUGAACAUUUGUCACCAAAAUGCAAAGUGAAUA
rnacentral:lncRNA from 1 species